AUUGCCGACGCCCGCGGAUUUUCUUGAAAAAUCUUUAUUCCCUAGCGUUGCUUUGGGAAUAUGAUCGAGGAUGGGUGAAGAUAAUGCUCAACACGUAAUACAGGCUUGCAUCGUUCCGUGUGCUCCGUCCGGUAAUUUCCGCGGGCCGUAAUUUGAAUUCUGAGAUUGCAUCUUUCGCCCAUCAGUCUGCAAAAUCCCAAGGUUGUUUCCGGUUACGAUUCAACAUCGCUGAAAGAUUGGAACCUCAUCAUCUACCCCUUAUUCGUCUCAUUACUCGGGUGGCCUCGAAACAUAAUAAAAGCAUAGCACGCCACGUUUGCCCAGUGCUUUAUGUCGAGAUAGAAAUAUUAUAACUUAUGGGAGUCAAAAUUAAAUACCAGAUUUUGCUCCGGUUUUAAACAUUUUAAACAAACUACGACAUCAUACACGGAUGAAUGUAAGUCUGAAAUAAAUGGAUUAUUAU